UAGAAAAAGGAAAAUCAUGAUGAGGUGAAAAAUAAAAAAAGCCAUGAGAGAAAAGAGGCAAGAGAGAUACAUUGAAAAAACCAGAUAUUUUCUGUGUAUUUUCAUGUCACUUUUAAUAGAAUUUGAUGGGAAAUGAUUUGAUUUAGAUGACAAGAAUGUAAAAAGUAAAAACAUGGGUCGGAGGAGAUCAUGUACAGGUAGGGUAGUCCAGUUACAGGGAGUUGGAGGUGUAGAUCCUCUCAAUUUAAAAAUCCACACGAUCAUGUUAAACUCUAAAUACUCUUGUGGGACCCAUGAUAAGAUUUUCACCAAUGGUUGGACUCUCUUGUUUGGGGAGUGGAGAGGGCCAUACUCUCAAACUACUUGAAGGUCUAUUGUAGACAUUCUUUUCACUUCUGCAGAGCUGCUUUGACCUAGAAGAGAGAUAUUGGAUAACACAAGGUUCCAUCACCAAACUUCUGACCUUUAAUUGUUUGUUCAUCUAACUUCUAACCUGAACUACGAAUUGGUAUCAAAGCUCCCAUAUUGAUUUGACAGAUAAGACAAACAAUGUAGCCUCCAAUGUCUAGUGAACAGGUCAAGGAAGAAACUUUAGGAAGCUGUUGUAGGAUGAAUACCAAGAAAGAGGGUCAGAAGAGGCCUAUGCUUUGAUGUGAAGGGUAUGUUUGCAUGAAGGAACAACUAAGGGUAAUGCUGAUAUACUAGAAUGUUACAGUAAGACAAUUAAAGCAAGCCUCCAAAUUACAACAUUGUCAUCAAAGUGGGCUCAUAUUAAGUGAGACAGAAGGGUUACGGUUUCUUGAUCACGAGUUAUCUCACACAAUUUCAUCUCAAACAAGGUGGCUGAGGAAAAUGAAGAGAAACUAAUCAUUAUGUUUGGAAAACUCUAUUGAGUUUGUGAAACAUUUUGUUUUCAUUUUCAAUGUUUUUUGUUUUCAAGAUUUUUUAAAGGAAAAAGUGAGAACAAAUAUAAGAUUUUAUUGUUUUCAA